UCGAACGAUGAAGCCCUUCGGGGUGGAUUAGUGGCGAACGGGUGAGUAACACGUGGGCAAUCUGCCCUGCACUCUGGGACAAGCCCUGGAAACGGGGUCUAAUACCGGAUGACACUUUCUCUCGCAUGGGAGAAGGUUGAAAGCUCCGGCGGUGCAGGAUGAGCCCGCGGCCUAUCAGCUAGUUGGUGAGGUAGAAGCUCACCAAGGCGACGACGGGUAGCCGGCCUGAGAGGGCGACCGGCCACACUGGGACUGAGACACGGCCCAGACUCCUACGGGAGGCAGCAGUGGGGAAUAUUGCACAAUGGGCGAAAGCCUGAUGCAGCGACGCCGCGUGAGGGAUGACGGCCUUCGGGUUGUAAACCUCUUUCAGCAGGGAAGAAGCGAAAGUGACGGUACCUGCAGAAGAAGCGCCGGCUAACUACGUGCCAGCAGCCGCGGUAAUACGUAGGGCGCAAGCGUUGUCCGGAAUUAUUGGGCGUAAAGAGCUCGUAGGCGGCUUGUCACGUCGGUUGUGAAAGCCCGGGGCUUAACCCCGGGUCUGCAGUCGAUACGGGCAGGCUAGAGUGUGGUAGGGGAGAUCGGAAUUCCUGGUGUAGCGGUGAAAUGCGCAGAUAUCAGGAGGAACACCGGUGGCGAAGGCGGAUCUCUGGGCCAUUACUGACGCUGAGGAGCGAAAGCGUGGGGAGCGAACAGGAU
rnacentral:rRNA from 2 species